GACGAACGCUGGCGGCGUGCUUAACACAUGCAAGUCGAACGGAAAGGCCCUGCUUUUGUGGGGUGCUCGAGUGGCGAACGGGUGAGUAACACGUGAGUAACCUGCCCUUGACUUUGGGAUAACUUCAGGAGACUGGGGCUAAUACCGGAUAGGAGCUCCUGCUGCAUGUGGGGGGUUGGAAAAUUUCGGCGGUGGGGGCUGGACUCGCGGCUUAUCAGCUUGUUGGGGGGGUAGGGGAUUACCAAGGCUUUGACGGGUAGCCCGCAUGAGAGGGUGACCGGCCACAAUGGGACUGCGAGACGGACCAGAAGCCUACGGGAGGCAGCAGUGGGGAAUAUUGCACAAUGGGCGGAAGCCUGAGGCAGCAACGCCGCGUGCGUGAUGACGGCCUUCGGGUUGUAAACCGAUUUCGCCGGUGACGAAGCGUGAUUGACGGUAAUGGGUAAAGAAGCACCGGCUAACUACGUG
rnacentral:rRNA from 1 species